rnacentral:rRNA from 1 species
AGCAAAUAGAUACCCUGGUAGUCCACGCCGUAAACGAUGGAUGCUAGCUGUUAUCAGUAUCGACCCUGGUAGUAGCGAAGCUAACGCGUUAAGCAUCCCGCCUGGGGAGUACGGUCGCAAGAUUAAAACUCAAGGGAAUUGACGGGGACCCGCACAAGCGGUGGAGCGUGUUGUUUAAUUCGACGCUAAGCGAAGAACCUUACCAAGGUUUGACAUCUCGGGAAAGUCUCCGAAAGGAGACCGUGCCUUCGGGAACCCGAUGACAGGUGUUGCAUGGCCGUCGUCAGCUCGUGUCGUGAGAUGUUUGGUUAAGUCCAUCAACGAGCGCAACCCUUGUAGUCUGUUGUAUUUCUCAGGCUAGACUGCCCCGGGUAACGGGGUAGGAAGGAGGGGUAUGAUGUCAGGUCAGUAUUACCCUUACACCUUGGGCCACAAACACGCUACAAUGGCCGAUACAAAGGGCUGCCAAGCAGCAACGCGGAGCAAAUCCCAUCAAAGUCGGUCUCAGUUCGGAUUGUUGGCUGAAACUCGCCAGCAUGAAG